UCAACCUGUGAAUACCACCUUAAAAUAUCUGCUCUUCAGUAUUGCAUUGAAGGAAAAGCUUAGAUUCAAAAAAGAGAAGAAUCAGAAACAACAACUUUCUGUAUAGACUGGGAUCUGAAUUACACCUCUCAAGUUCCACUGUACUCAAGAAGUCAUGAAUACAGUCAUCUUGGGAAGCAGUUUGGAGCUGAAAUGAAUGCGUGAAGCUCAUCAGUGUGCUUUUAGCCCCAGGGGAUUUUCUGAUCCUAUUCACUGUACACCCAACGUUUUUAAUAGCACAGAAGGAGAAUUUUAGUUGUAGGUGAGUGCCUGGUAACAAAGGUAUAAAUUUUUGCCUUUAAGUGAAAUUCCUACAUUUUCCUCCUUAAAGUACUUCAGUUGUUUCUUUGGAUCAGCAACUACCCAGUGGAUAAACCAUGAGAAGAUGAUGUUAGGGAAACAUGGCCAUUAGUAUUAAGCACAGAAUUUCAGUCUUUGUCUUAAAAUAAAAAUCAAGAUGUAUCAAAUUGGGAUUUAUGACCAGGUAGCAAAUGCAUCAUCUCCACCCCAGAAAUCAUUAUGGAGAACCUAGACCAGACUGCAAAAGAGUAGAGAUUUUGCAAUAUGGAGUCAACUACUCAAUUACAGUUCUAUUUCAGUCAGGAAUUUGUAAUGAUUUAGUUUCCCUUGGAAGGAAUGUCAAUCAAAUAAUAAUAUCACUCCUAGUUAAGAAAAAAUUCCGGUUCUUUUUGUGGUAGUUUGCAAGGAAAUAAACAUGUACAUCUAGAUAAUAUUAUAUUAGUCCUGCAUGGCAGUGGUAAGGCUGGCAGGCAGCCUACUCUAUACAAUGUACACAAGCCAAGACCACAUUGCAAUGGAAAAUCAACUCUCAGCCAACUGUACUUGGAUUGGAAGGAAUUUGAGCACAGUUAGUGUUCUGAAUCCUAAAUUGCCACCAUGAUGUCUUUGCUCAAAUAUAAAGCUUAUGAAGGUACUGGAGUAGGACUUG